GUGUAAUUCCAAGCCAAUUGCUAUGUCUGGGGAAAACAUUCUUCACAGGUAUUAAAGCACAGAGCCCAGCUGUGGGCUAGGCCAUUGGGAAGGAGUUACCCAAGUUUUAAUCGUCAUACAUUACACUUGUUUGUUUCUAUAAUGUCCUAGCUAGUGCGCUCCUUAACCAUUUAAUUGUGUCUGACGGAGUGAUGCGGUUGCUAGGAGACCAUGCUUGUUAAACUACCACUGCAGACUAAACAGGCAAGAUUAUGUUUAUUUAGCAUUUAAACAAUGCUACUAAGUAGUCCAAGUCCAGAAUUGUCCAGCUGAUCCUUGCUUUUGUGUGUCAGCCUUCAUACUACCUUAUAAGCAAGUAGGUCAGCAUCACCAGU
rnacentral:lncRNA from 1 species